rnacentral:lncRNA from 1 species
CGAGCGCUUCAAGAGUUUCCAGUCCUAUGCAACGAUUUCGAGCAAUAUGGCGUGCGAGAAACGUCAUUCGCGUCAUUGUUUACUUUUUGCAUUCUACCUUAGAAAAUUGGUUUUAAAAUAGUUUGUGCGCAACACUGGAAGAAACUUAUGGAACGUGCAAAAAAUCGUAGCAAAGAUUUAAAACCGAAAAUUUUAAUUUGGAAAAUGAUCGUUCAGGUGCACCGAAAAAGUUAGACGAGUUUUAAUCCUUCGAAGAGAAGAUACGAGCGAAAAUAUAUUCGUAUGUAUAAUAAAUAUACGUAGUUUUUUCGUGCAAAAACUUUUACCAACAGGAUGUGUGCUAGGAUCAAAAAUGACAAAUAUCCCACUAGAAUGAAAAUAAGAAAAUAUAUAAAAUAUAAAAAAUAUAUAAAAAAGUUGUACAAUAAAAAAUAUGAAAUGAUUUUUAUCCAUCGGGAAAAACAGAGAUCAAAUGUAUUGUUCAAAUUCGUUGCAAGAAAUAAAAGAAAGGAUUAAUAGCACGUUCGUUGAAAGCAAGAUAAAGAUGGAAUUCGUUAAGCUUGCAACAACAUUUUGAAAUGGAAACAAACUUCUUUUCAAUAAUAUAACAAUCCGUAGAUAAUAAUAACAUUCUUUUCUUAUCGUAUCUUAUCUUUUCAUUUUAUUUUCUUAUUGCUCAGAACAGAUGCAGUUUCAUCGUUUAACCCUUUACACACGAAUGGUGUCUCUCGGUCAUCACUUGGAUUCGAAUAGCUUCUCCAAGCUCUUUAUGUACAAUCAUACGAAGCGUAGAGUAAUAUAAUGUUGAGAGGUAAAUUUUCUUAUUUUAAAUUGGAUCGCGGAUCGAAUUACAUUUUCCACGUUGGUCCGAGUUUGACGGUUAAUGAUAAAUCGAAGACGCAUCUUGCCCGGUCGCUUCAUGCGAUAUAUAUAGAGUUUAAUACUCGACAAACUUUUCUUCUCUAUGCGUAGAUACGUUAAUUACGCGCAUGCGCGAAAUCGUUUUGAGGUUAGUUGUAAGAAAUUCAUCGAAACGUGUGGAACAAUUGUCUCGAGAGUUAAUAUAAUAUAUGACGGGGACAAGAAUUUCCAAUCGCGUCUUCGAAACAACGGAAAAGAAGAGUAAGAAAAGUACAAAAUAAAAGCUCAAAGAAGCCCUCGAUAAUUACGAUCAAAGACAGUGUAGUAAUAACCAGCUAUCUCUAGGGAAAAAAGAAGUGGCAGCAAUUCGUUUCCAAAAACCAAGGAAUAACCGUAACGGUAAAUCGAAGAGACGGAUUAGAAGAAGCGGCACAAAAGGGACGAAGAUUUCGUUUAGUUUCUCUCCUCGAAUCGAGAUCCCUGGCGGCGAUUUGGCGGAAGCGGAUCAACCAGCAGUUUUCUUUUCGAGCUCUCGUUUCAUCCGGUCGUUCAACCGGCCGACCGAGAUUGAGGACGGGGGAAGAGCCAUUUGCGUGAUCGGUUCGCUCGAGAUAACGAGGGGAAACGGUCAUGCAAAUGCGAUCGAAAUGGAAACUCGGCCGAAACACAGCCGCUUUAUCGCGACUUUAAUUCGGCCGUAAUUGGUACACGCCGCGCGAUGAUGGGCAACCGGUUAGUCGAUUCAUCGACUGGAAAUCGCGAUGGAAUCAUUACCGAAUUCUCCCGCUGGUGGCGGGACUUAUCGCGAGGUUGUUCUCGAUGUUGCGCAAUUAUCGGUGGAAGGGAUGAAACGGAUGGAUGGAAGUUGGAUCCUGGAAAUUCAUAUCGGAAAAUGUUUUUAUUAUCUGUGAAAGGUUUAUGGAUAUAUAUUUGUUACGUUAUAUUAUCUUGAAUGAAAGAUAGUAUCCAUCGUUUUCUUCCAAUGAAAAAGGUGAAAAUCGAUCGAUGAAGGAGAAUUUCAUAACCUUCAAAAGUUUUUAAAUACAAGAUUUUCAAAGACACGAAUGGAAGAAUAGCAAAGCAAUUCGAACGUUGAAUGAACGCAAAUCUAUUACCAAACCUUUUCUCAUCGUGCAUCUCUGACUUUCUCUAUUAACCUUUUGGCUCACAGAAAUCCAUCGUCUUAUAACAAGUGUACUUAAAUUACGAGGAUUUAAAGUUUUAAAAUAAUAUAUUGGAAUACUAGUAAUACUUUAAAUACAAACUUUCCAAAGAUAUCAAUCGAAGAAUAGCAAAGUAUCUCGAAUGAACGCAAAUCCAUUACCAAACCUUUUCUCGCUGUGUAUUUCUAACUUUCUCUAUUAAUUCUCGCUCACAGAAAUCCAUCGUCUUAUAACAAGUGAACUUAAAUCGAGGAUUUAAAGUUUUAAAAUAAUAUAUUGAAAUACUAGUAAUAAUUUGUAAGUAAUUGUAGCAAAAUAAAAUCGAUGAGGAAGAAUUUCAUAACCUCAAAAAUAAUA